UACGAAGGGGGCUAGCGUUGUUCGGAGUUACUGGGCGUAAAGGGCGCGUAGGCGGCCCUCCAAGUCGGGUGUGAAAGCCCACGGCUCAACCGUGGAAUUGCACUCGAGACUGAAGGGCUCGAGGACGGGAGAGGAUGGUGGAAUUCCCAGUGUAGAGGUGAAAUUCGUAGAUAUCGGGUGGAACACCUGUGGCGAAGGCGGCCAUCUGGACAGUCACUGACGCUGAGACGCGAAAGCGUGGGGAGCAAACAGG
rnacentral:rRNA from 1 species